rnacentral:rRNA from 1 species
AGGACGAACGCUGGCGGUGUGCCUCAUACAUGCAAGUCGAACGAGAAGUUACCUUCGGGUAAUGGAAAGUGGCGGACGGGUGAGUACAACAUAGGAAAUCUGCCCUAAAGCGGGGGACAACAGAGGGAAACUCCUGCUAAUACCCCAUAUGAGCUUAGUUGAAAUACUAAUCUUGAAAGAUUUAUCACUUUAGGAUGAGCCUGUGCCUGAUUAGCUAGUUGGUGGUGUAAUGGACUACCAAGGCGACGAUCAGUAGCUGGUUUGAGAGGAUGAUCAGCCACAAUGGGACUGAGACACGGCCCAUACUCCGUACGGGAGGCAGCAGGUAGGGUAAUUUUGCGCAAGUGGGGGGAAAAACCCCUGACGCAGCAACACCGCGUGAAUUGUUAACGCCCGUUCGGGGUGUAAAGUUCUGUCAAUAGGGAAGAAUAAAUGACUGUACCUAUAAAGGAAGCACCGGCUAACUCCGUGCCAGCCGCCGC